CUGCUUCACUUUCUUCUUGGAGCCCUAAAUCUCUCCAGCAUGUUCUGGGCUGCCAUUGUGACCCUACUAGUGAUGUGGUGCACAGGUUCAGACUCUCAGCCUACCCUGUCCCAGGCAUCAUCAGCAUCAGUAGCACCAGGGAACACAGUGAAGCUCUCCUGUGUCAUUAGCGGUGGAUCCAGCUUCACUAGCUACAUGCAAUGGUACCAGCAGAAGCCUGGGAAUCCCCCACGGUGGCUCUUAAGUUAUUAUUCAGAUUCCGACAAGUACCAGGGCUCGGGAGUCCCCUCUCGUUUCUCUGGUUCCAAAGACUCAUCAGGUAGCACCGGAUAUCUAACCAUCGCGGGAGUCCAGGCAGAAGACGAGGCUGAUUAUUACUGUGCUACAGCUCAUGGCAGUGGCAGCAGCUUUCAGUGGAUCUUUGGAGCAGGGACCCAGCUGACCGUCACUGGUCAGCCAGCAUCGCGUCCCACAAUGAACGUCUUCCCUCCAUCGCAAGAAGAGUUGCGAACUACAGACAAGGCCACCUUGGCAUGUUUGGUGAGUGACUUCAUGCCAGGUGCAGCCCAAGUCAUCUGGCUGGCUGAUGGCUCCCCGAUCUCUAGUGGUGUGGAGACGACCAAGCCGACAAAGCACAACGAUAAGUACAUGCUCAGCAGUUACCUGACCAUGGAAUCUUCAGAAUGGGAGAAGCAUAAUGAGUACACCUGCAAGGUGACACACGAAGGGUCCGAGUACCGGAAGACGGUGAACCGUUCGCAGUGAUAAGAACUCUGCUGCAUGCAGGGCUUUGCUGCAUCCUGAUCUCUGUUGCAGAAGGAGAGAAAUGUCACAUGUUCUCUCCCCCUCCCGCCCUCCCCAGUUUUCCUUCUCUCCCCACAAUUUUCAAAAACUUUCCCCUUUCCCUUUCCCCCCAGCUUCAUAGGCAUCCUUGUUAGUUCUAAUGAAUAAUAAAAGCAGACUCGUGCAAUUUUGCUGUCUCUGUAUAGAUUCUCUCCAGUGGCAAUUUAAAAAAUGAUUGUGAGAUGACAUCUGUCAGUCAAUAAAACAAGACAGUGCUUUAUCAUGU